GCAUGGGUGGGGGUCUCAGGUGGGGCUGGUAAGGAUGAUUAGUGCCUAUUGAUGCACUCAGUGCCUCACGCUUUAAAAGUGCUGGAGUUAGAGCAGCAUUUUCUUUAGAAGAUUUUAGUCUAGGUUGCAGUGUGUGAUGUGUUUCCUGCUUCCUAGGAGUGCCCCUCAGAAAGCACCCUACAAAAAGAGCACUUUUUCAGCUGCAUCAUGAUUAGCUGCAAACCUCUUCUGCAAGCCAGACCCGCAGAGCCAAAAGUCAGUCCCCAGAGUUGUUCGAGAAGGACAUUACACCCACAAGUACAAGCAUUUAUGGGCUAUACUUAUGCAAGAAAACACUAUAAUUUUCAAGGCUGUCUUUGUGUCAGAACACCUUAAAAGAGACCAUCUGAACAUCCAGGCAUGAACCAGUGCUCCAGAGAUGGGGCUGCAAGGCAUCGCUGGUCCCCUCUUCUUUCACUCGCUGCCCUUAGCCCUGCAGAAGUGCUGCUGAAGAGGAGAGCAGCUCUGUCUUAGCAUUCACUGCUUAAGACUGGAGGUGGCCUGAAAGAUGUGCUCUCUUUAUCAAAUAAAAUCACUUUUGAAGGUA